UACGUAGGGAGCGAGCGUUGUCCGGAUUCAUUGGGCGUAAAGGGUGCGUAGGCGGGUCUUUAAGUCAGGGGUGAAAUCCUGGAGCUCAACUCCAGAACUGCCUUUGAUACUGAGGAUCUUGAGUUCGGGAGAGGUGAGUGGAACUGCGAGUGUAGAGGUGAAAUUCGUAGAUAUUCGCAAGAACACCAGUGGCGAAGGCGGCUCACUGGCCCGAUACUGACGCUGAGGCACGAAAGCGUGGGGAGCAAACAGG
rnacentral:rRNA from 1 species